rnacentral:misc_RNA from 1 species
AACCCUUCAAGCUUCGCUUGGUGUUGGGCGCUUGUCCCGCCCGCGUGCGUGGACUCGCCUUAAAACUAUCGGCGUCGACGUGUCGGCCUUGAGCGCAGCAGAAUAGUCGCUCUGGGGCCGCGCGCCGCGGCUUGCCGUAAAACGACCACCUAAU